CUGAGAGGAUGACCAGCCACACUGGAACUGAGACACGGUCCAGACUCCUACGGGAGGCAGCAGUGGGGAAUAUUGCACAAUGGGCGCAAGCCUGAUGCAGCCAUGCCGCGUGUAUGAAGAAGGCCUUCGGGUUGUAAAGUACUUUCAGCGGGGAGGAAGGGAGUAAAGUUAAUACCUUUGCUCAUUGACGUUACCCGCAGAAGAAGCACCGGCUAACUCCGUGCCAGCAGCCGCGGUAAUACGGAGGGUGCAAGCGUUAAUCGGAAUUACUGGGCGUAAAGCGCACGCAGGCGGUUUGUUAAGUCAGAUGUGAAAUCCCCGGGCUCAACCUGGGAACUGCAUCUGAUACUGGCAAGCUUGAGUCUCGUAGAGGGGGGUAGAAUUCCAGGUGUAGCGGUGAAAUGCGUAGAGAUCUGGAGGAAUAUCGGUGGCGAAGGCGGCCCCCUGGACGAAGACUGACGCUCAGGUGCGAAAGCGUGGGGAGCAAACAGGAUUAG
rnacentral:rRNA from 1 species